ensembl:misc_RNA Metazoa_SRP Metazoan signal recognition particle RNA
UUUAGGGACCCCCACCACUCAGGAAGGCUGAGGCAGAAGCAUCACCUGAGGCCAGGAGCUUGGGCUGUAAGUGCGGUUGGCCUAUGGGGAGACUGUGCUAAGUUCAGCAUCAUUAUGGUGACCACAUGCUGCCUGAGGAGGGGUGAACUAGCCCGGAUGGGAAAUGCAGCAGGUCAAAACUCUUGUGCUGAUCUCUAGUGCGAAUGCAACUGUGAAUAGGCACUGUGCUCCAGCCUGGGCAACAGAGUGAGACCCUGUCUCU